UACGGGGGGGUCAAGCGUUGUUCGGAAUUACUGGGCGUAAAGGGCUCGUAGGUGGCCAACUAAGUCAGACGUGAAAUCCCCCGGCUUAACCGGGGAACUGCGUCUGAUACUGGAUGGCUUGAGUUCGGGAGAGGGAUGCGGAAUUCCAGGUGUAGCGGUGAAAUGCGUAGAGAUUAGGAAGAACACCAGUGGCGAAGGCGGCUUUCUGGACUGUAACUGACACUGAGGCUCGAAAGCGUGGGGAGCAAACAGG
rnacentral:rRNA from 1 species